GCAUUCAUGAAAUAUGCAAUUUCUCAUUCACCAAUGUAAAUGGCUUGAUUCACCAUUAUAGAACCAUGCAUAAGUACAACAAGGAAGUUUUAUUUAGGGAAACUCAAGCAAAAAUAAAAAGGCAAUUUGUCAAAUGUAAAAAGGUAUUUGCCUGCAAAUAUAAUAAACACUUUCUAUGUUCCAAACCUCUUGCUAAGCACUGUUGUAGCUCUCAUAACCUAUACUAUAUUGAGGAGCCCAAAUUGCUUU
rnacentral:lncRNA from 1 species